rnacentral:rRNA from 1 species
UACGUAGGCAGCGAGCGUUGUUCGGAGUUAUUGGGCGUAAAGGGUGCGUAGGCGGUUCCGCAAGUCCUGUGUGAAAUCUUCGGGCUCAACUCGAAGUCUGCACGGGAAACUGCGGGGCUUGAGUGUGGGAGAGGUGAGUGGAAUUCCCGGUGUAGCGGUGAAAUGCGUAGAUAUCGGGAAGAACACCUAUGGCGAAGGCAGCUCUCUGGGACGGUACUGACGCUGAGACGCGAAAGCGUGGGGAGCGAACAGG